GACGAACGCUGGCGGCGUGCUUAACACAUGCAAGUCGAACGGAAAGGCCCUGCUUUUGUGGGGUGCUCGAGUGGCGAACGGGUGAGUAACACGUGAGUAACCUGCCCUUGACUUUGGGAUAACUUCAGGAAACUGGGGCUAAUACCGGAUAGGAGCUCCUGCUGCAUGGUGGGGGUUGGAAAGUUUCGGCGGUUGGGGAUGGACUCGCGGCUUAUCAGCUUGUUGGUGGGGUAGUGGCUUACCAAGGCUUUGACGGGUAGCCGGCCUGAGAGGGUGACCGGCCACAUUGGGACUAAGAUACGGCCCAGAAUCCUACGGGAGGCAGCAGUGGGGAAUAUUGCACAAUGGGCGGAAGCCUGAUGCAGCAACGCCGCGAGCGGGAUAACGGCCUUCGAGUGGUAAACCGCUUUCGCCUGUGACGAAGCGGGAGUGACGGUAAUGGGUAAAGAAGCACCGGCUAACUACGUG
rnacentral:rRNA from 1 species